GACGAACGCUGGCGGCGUGCCUAAUACAUGCAAGUAGAACGCUGAAGAGAGGAGCUUGCUCUUCUUGGAUGAGUUGCGAACGGGUGAGUAACGCGUAGGUAACCUGCCUUGUAGCGGGGGAUAACUAUUGGAAACGAUAGCUAAUACCGCAUAACAAUGGAUGACACAUGUCAUUUAUUUGAAAGGGGCAAUUGCUCCACUACAAGAUGGACCUGCGUUGUAUUAGCUAGUAGGUGAGGUAAUGGCUCACCUAGGCGACGAUACAUAGCCGACCUGAGAGGGUGAUCGGCCACACUGGGACUGAGACACGGCACAGACUCCUACGGGAGGCAGCAGUAGGGAAUCGUCGGCAAUGGGGGCAACCCUGACCGAGCAACGCCGCGUGAGUGAAGAAGGUUUUCGGAUCGUAAAGCUCUGUUGUAAGUCAAGAACGGGUGUGAGAGUGGAAAGUUCACACUGUGACGGUAGCUUACCAGAAAGGGACGGCUAACUACGUG
rnacentral:rRNA from 1 species